GACGAACCGUACGAACGUUAUUCGGAAUUACUGGGCUUAAAGGGUGCGUAGGCUGUGCGGAAAGUUGGGCGUGAAAUACCUCAGCUUAACUGAGGAACUGCGUUCAAAACUACCGUGCUUGAGGGAGACAGAGGUAAGCGGAACUGAGGGUGGAGCGGUGAAAUGCGUUGAUAUCCUCAGGAACACCGGUGGCGAAAGCGGCUUACUGGGUCUCUUCUGACGCUGAUGCACGAAAGCUAGGGGAGCGAAUGGG
rnacentral:rRNA from 1 species